GAUGAACGCUGGCGGCGUGCCUAAUACAUGCAAGUCGAGCGAACAGACGAGGAGCUUGCUCCUCUGACGUUACCGGCGACCGGGUGAUUAACACUUGGAUAACUUACCUAUAAGACUGGGAUACCUUCGGAAAACCGGAGCUAUUACCGGAUAAUAUAUUGAACCGCUUGGUUCAAUAGUAAAAGCCGGUUUUGCUUUCACUUUUAAAUUGAUCCGCGCCGCAUUAGCUAGUUGGUAAGGUAACGGCUUACCAAGGCAACGAUGCGUAGCCGACCUGAGAGGGUGAUCGGCCACAAUGGAACUGAGACACGGUCCAGACUCCUACGGGAGGCAGCAGUAGGGAAUCUUCCGCAAUGGGCGAAAGCCUGACGGAGAAACGCCGCGUGAGUGAUGAAGGUCUUCGGAUCGUAAAACUCCGUUAUUAGGGAAGAACAAAUGUGUAAGUAACUAUGCACGUCUUGACGGUACCUAAUCAGAAAGCCACGGCUAACUACGUG
rnacentral:rRNA from 1 species